rnacentral:rRNA from 1 species
AGAGUUUGAUCCUGGCUCAGGAUGAACGCUAGCGACAGGCUUAACACAUGCAAGUCGAGGGGCAGCACAGGUAGCAAUACCGGGUGGCGACCGGCGCACGGGUGAGUAACGCGUAUGCAACUUACCUAUCAGAGGGGGAUAACCCGGCGAAAGUCGGACUAAUACCGCAUGAAGCAGGGGCCCCGCAUGGGGAUAUUUGCUAAAGAUUCAUCGCUGAUAGAUAGGCAUGCGUUCCAUUAGGCAGUUGGCGGGGUAACGGCCCACCAAACCGACGAUGGAUAGGGGUUCUGAGAGGAAGGUCCCCCACAUUGGUACUGAGACACGGACCAAACUCCUACGGGAGGCAGCAGUGAGGAAUAUUGGUCAAUGGCCGAGAGGCUGAACCAGCCAAGUCGCGUGAGGGAUGAAGGUUCUAUGGAUCGUAAACCUCUUUUAUAAGGGAAUAAAGUGUGGGACGUGUCCUAUUUUGUAUGUACCUUAUGAAUAAGGAUCGGCUAACUCCGUGCCAGCAGCCGCGGUAAUACGGAGGAUCCGAGCGUUAUCCGGAUUUAUUGGGUUUAAAGGGUGCGUAGGCGGCCUUUUAAGUCAGCGGUGAAAGUCUGUGGCUCAACCAUAGAAUUGCCGUUGAAACUGGGGGGCUUGAGUAUGUUUGAGGCAGGCGGAAUGCGUGGUGUAGCGGUGAAAUGCAUAGAUAUCACGCAGAACCCCGAUUGCGAAGGCAGCCUGCCAAGCCAUUACUGACGCUGAUGCACGAAAGCGUGGGGAUCAAACAGGAUUAGAUACCCUGGUAGUCCACGCAGUAAACGAUGAUCACUAGCUGUUUGCGAUACACUGUAAGCGGCACAGCGAAAGCGUUAAGUGAUCCACCUGGGGAGUACGCCGGCAACGGUGAAACUCAAAGGAAUUGACGGGGGCCCGCACAAGCGGAGGAACAUGUG